rnacentral:tRNA from 1 species
GGCGCUGAACCGUUGCGACGCGCUGCCUUUGCAAGGCAGAUGUCAGGAGUUCGAAUCUCCUAGGCUCCA